rnacentral:lncRNA from 1 species
AGAGAGAGAGCUCAUUCCCCUCUAUACCCCUCAACUCAUGUAACAAUUGCUAAUAAACCCCUCCACUUUGCUUCUCUUGGCCUGCCCAAACUGGGCAUUUUUCGUGCUCGGGGACCGGUCUGUCCCUAUAGGGACCGAUCCCCGAGAGCAGGGCUCUCAGGACUUAGCCAAUUUUUCCCUCUUUUCGCCUCUUCUGUGUACGAGGACCGGUCCUCGCCUGAGGGACCGGACCUUCAGGGACCGGUCCCCUCCCGAGGGACCGGACCCUGAGAGCAAUAUCGCGCGCAGAACUUU